UACGGAGGGGGCGAGCGUUAUUCGGAAUUAUUGGGCGUAAAGGGCGCGUAGGCGGCCUUGUAAGUCAAAGGUGAAAUCCCUCGGCUCAACUGAGGAACUGCCGUUGAAACUGCAAGGCUUGAGGCCGGGAGGGGGUAGCGGAAUUCCCAAUGUAGCGGUGAAAUGCGUAGAUAUCUGGAGGAACACCGGUGGCGAAGGCGGCAUCCUGGACCGGUAUUGACGCUGAUGCGCGAAAGCCAGGGGAGCAAACGGG
rnacentral:rRNA from 1 species